CAGUCGCCGCGGGAAUACGAAGGGUGCAAGCGUUACUCGGAAUUACUGGGCGUAAAGCGUGCGUAGGUGGUGGUUUAAGUCCGUUGUGAAAGCCCUGGGCUCAACCUGGGAAUUGCAGUGGAUACUGGGUCACUAGAGUGUGGUAGAGGAUAGUGGAAUUUCCGGUGUAGCAGUGAAAUGCGUAGAGAUCGGAAGGAACAUCUGUGGCGAAGGCGACUAUCUGGGCCAACACUGACACUGAGGCACAAAAGCGUGGGGAGCAAACAGGAUUAGAUACCCCGGUAGUCCCUGUCUCUUAUAA
rnacentral:rRNA from 1 species